rnacentral:rRNA from 2 species
GAUACCCCAGGUCAGGCGAGGCUACCCGC